rnacentral:lncRNA from 1 species
CCUGUGGUGGAAACCUGGACUCCCCCCACCCCACAAUGGAGCAGGCCUACCCCUUUGGUGCUUCUGUCGGGAGCUCAGAGCUUCUGCAGGCCAGGAAGCUAUGUGCCUUUGUUUGCUGAGAGCCACACCCAGGAUGUUCUUCUUGCUUAAUGCUCAGUGGGCACAGAAACAGCUUCAGCUAAAUUAAUCCCCGGCUGGCUGCUCGGCCUGCCACCCAAGGUCCACAGUGCUGGUGGUGCCCAUCACUCUGCAAUGGCCUCCUCAACUCUGAGGCCAGGCCAGGAGUGGGGUGGAGGCUCCAGCUCCUGACCGCUGAGCCCUUGGCUCCCCAUGGAGACAAAGCAAAGAGACCAGGGCUCCUUUGUUUCCGGCCACACCCAGGGACACAGUCUGCCGGCUCGGCCCACACUACCGUUCCCACCCUCCAGCAGCCCAGCCUCGGU